rnacentral:lncRNA from 10 species
CCACAGAGGUGGAGUCUAUAGAGGUGUUAGGCCUUGCUGAGAUGCGGUGGGCUCCACCCAGUUUGAGCUUCCUGGCUGCUUUGUUUACCUACUCAAGCCUCAGCAAUCGCAGACGUCCCUUCCCCAGCCAGGCUGCCACCUCGCAGUUCAAUCUCAGACUGCUGUGCUAGCAGUGGGGAAGGCUCCGUGGGCAUGGAAACUGCCGAGCCAGGCACAGUAGAGAAUCACCUUGUCUGCCGGUUGCUAAGACCUUUGGAAAAGUGCAGUAUUUGGGUGAGAGUGUCCUAUUUUUCCAGGUACAGUCUGUCACGUCUUCCCUUGGCUAGGAAAGGGAAAUCCCCCGACCCCUUACACUUUCCGGGUGAGGCAACGCCCCACUCUGCUUCAGCUCACCCUCCAUGGGCUGCACUCACCUUCCAACCAGUCUCAAUGAGAUGAACCAGGUACCUCAGUUGGAAAUGCAGAAAUCACCCGUCUUCUGCGUCAAUCACGCUGAGAACUGCAGACCAGAGCUGUUCCUAUUUGGCCAUCUUGGAACCGGUCUGAGUCUGUUUUAGCCAGAUCAAGUACUUGACUUCUCCUAUGGAGAAUGCAGCAAGAAAAUACCAUCUUGAAGCAGAGAGCAGCGCUCAUCAGGCAUCAGUCCUUCUGGAGCCUUGAUCUUGGACCUCCCAGCUCCAAAAUAAUAAGUAAUAAAUUGUUAUUGCUUAUAAAUU